rnacentral:rRNA from 1 species
AGAGGUCCCGCCUGCCCAGUGACCACUGCGUUUAACGGCCGCGGUAUCAUAACCGUGCGAAGGUAGCGUAAUCACUUGUCUUUUAAAUGAAGACCUGUAUGAAUGGCACCACGAGGGUUCAACUGUCUCCUUCCCCCAGUCAAUGAAAUUGAUCUGCCCGUGCAGAAGCGGACAUAUAGACAUAAGACGAGAAGACCCUGUGGAGCUUCAGGCUAAAAUUCAAACAUGUAAAGAAAUUUUUCACAAACAAAAGAAUACAAAACAAAUUUAAACCUGAUGCACAUGACCAAAUGCCUUCGGUUGGGGCGACCACGGGGAAGAACAAAGCCCCCGAAUGGAAUGAAGUCACCUUCAGAACUAAGAGACACACCUCUAGGCAACAGAAAAUCUGACCAAAUAUGACCCGGGAUAAACAUUUAAACCCGAUCAAUGAACCAAGUUACCCCAGGGAUAACAGCGCAAUCCUUUCCCAGAGUCCCUAUCGACGAAAGGGUUUACGACCUCGAUGUUGGAUCAGGACAUCCUAAUGGUGAAGCCGCUAUUAAGGGUUCGUUUGUUCAACGAUUAACAGUCCUACGUGA